rnacentral:rRNA from 1 species
CGGGUGAGUAACGCGUGAGGAACCUGCCUCAAAGAGGGGGACAACAGUUGGAAACGACUGCUAAUACCGCAUAAGCCCACGGCUCGGCAUCGAGCAGAGGGAAAAGGAGCAAUCCGCUUUGAGAUGGCCCCGCGUCCGAUUAGCUAGUUGGUGAGGUAAUGGCCCACCAGGCGACGAUCGGUAGCCGGACUGAGAGGUUGAACGGCCACAUUGGGACUGAGACACGGCCCAG